CCCUUAGAUGUUCUGGGCCGCACGCGCGCUACACUGACGAAGUCAGCGAGCAUGUCCUACGCCGACAGGUGCGGGGAAUCUUGUCAAACUUCGUCGUGAUGGGGAUUGAUUAUUUAAAUUCUUGAUCAUCAACGAGGAAUUCCUAGUAAGCGCAAGUCAGCAGCUUGCGUUGAUUACGUCCCUGCCCUUUGUACACACCGCCCGUCGCUACUACCGAUUGAAUGGUUUAGUGAGAUCUUCGGAUUGGCGCCACUGCGGCUCAGCAAUGGGCUCGGUGGAUGCCGAAAAGUUGAUCAAACUUGAUCAUUUAGAGGAAGUAAAAGUCGUAACA
rnacentral:rRNA from 1 species